GAUGCGAGAAGCAUUUCGAAACAGUGCUGUAUAAGUGCAAAUGGAACAGUGAGUCACGGUGAGGUGAAGAAAGAAAUAAUCGGGUUAUUCAUGGGCCGGUGCUCUUCUGAAAGUCACACAUUUGCGGCCGUUUUAUAUUCCCCCAGAAUGCGAACAUCUGUUACCAAUGGCUUAUUAAUUUUCAAACUUUUCUCUCACAUGGUUCUCCAGUUCUAAAACUUCUAUUUUCAUUGCAAAAAUUCUUGGUAGUAUCAUAAGUUUAAGUUUUAAAGUUUAAUCAGAAAUAACAAUAAAUUCUAUUUAAAAACAUGUUUUGUUUUUGCAAUAUGUUACUUUAAUGAAUUUUAUUAAUUAUAA
ensembl:lincRNA linc-34 ncRNA